UACGGGGGGGGCAAGCGUUGUUCGGAAUUACUGGGCGUAAAGGGCGCGUAGGCGGUGCUCUAAGUUAGAUGUGAAAACUCUGGGCUCAACCCAGAGCCUGCAUCUAAAACUGGAGUGCUAGAGUUCUGGAGGGGUAGCGGAAUUCCUGGUGUAGCGGUGAAAUGCGCAGAUAUCAGGAGGAACACCGGUGGCGAAGGCGGGUCUCUGGGCAAUAACUGACGCUGAGGAGCGAAAGCGUGGGGAGCGAACAGGA
rnacentral:rRNA from 1 species